rnacentral:rRNA from 1 species
GACGAAGCCGUGCGAAACGUUGUUCGGAUUCACUGGGGCUUAAAAGGGCGCGUAGGCGGGUUGGUCAAGUCAGGGGUGAAAGCCCAACGGCCCCAACCGUGGGAAGUGCCUUUGAUACUUGACUGUCUUGAGGGAGGUAGGGGCAUGCGGAACUUCCGGUGGAGCGGGGUGAAAUGACUGCAGAUAUCAAGGAGGAACACCGGU